rnacentral:rRNA from 1 species
CCAGAGAACUUAGCAGAGAUGCUUUGGUGCCUUCGGGAACUCUGAGACAGGUGCUGCAUGGCUGUCGUCAGCUCGUGUUGUGAAAUGUUGGGUUAAGUCCCGCAACGAGCGCAACCCUUAUCCUUUGUUGCCAGCGGUUCGGCCGGGAACUCAAAGGAGACUGCCGGUGAUAAGCCGGAGGAAGGUGGGGAUGACGUCAAGUCAUCAUGGCCCUUACGGCCAGGGCUACACACGUGCUACAAUGGCGCAUACAAAGAGAAGCGACCUCGCGAGAGCAAGCGGACCUCAUAAAGUGCGUCGUAGUCCGGAUUGGAGUCUGCAACUCGACUCCAUGAAGUCGGAAUCGCUAGUAAUCGUAGAUCAGAAUGCUACGGUGAAUACGUUCCCGGGCCUUGUACACACCGCCCGUCACACCAUGGGAGUGGGUUGCAAAAGAAGUAGGUAGCUUAACCUUCGGGAGGGCGCUUACCACUUUGUGAUUCAUGACUGGGGUGAAGUCGUAACAAGGUAAGCGUAGUGCU